rnacentral:rRNA from 1 species
UACGUAGGGUGCGAGCGUUAAUCGGAAUUACUGGGCGUAAAGCGUGCGCAGGCGGUAAUGCAAGACAGAUGUGAAAUCCCCGGGCUUAACCUGGGAACUGCAUUUGUGACUGCAUUGCUGGAGUGCGGCAGAGGGGGAUGGAAUUCCGCGUGUAGCAGUGAAAUGUGCAGAGAUCCGGAGGAACACCAGAGGUGAAAACGGCGCCCUGGGGUGCACCUGACGCUGAGGCGCGAAAGCUUGGGGAGCAAACGGG